UUAAUUAUAAGCAUUCGAUUGAAAUUGCAUUUGCUGUUCGUUUCGUUGAUUUAUCAGUAACUUACUUUUCAACAACUUCCCUACUUAUCUCUCAAUACCAUUUUUUUAGAUAAAUAACUUUUUCUUUUAGCAUCGUGUGAACACAGAUUACGAGCGUCGGACAUCUUUCUGCAUUGCCAUAUAUGAGUAAGUGUUUGACUAAUGAUGAGAUCGUGCCAGUAUCGGUACUAUCAGUACUAUGCGCGUCAUGUUAGUCUGGCCGUUUAAGCUUAUUUCGCGGGCAAACGUAGGGGACGUACCGAAAUAAAGUCUUCCCACGCACGAAUUCGAUGCUAAAAGAGAUCCGACGUCCAUUUCUAAAGUUAUCCUUUGCUCUCGGCACGUGCCACACGAUACGGAGGUCUGCCCGACUGCGUGUUUCUUCCACUCUGUGGAAAUUUGUGAAAUACGACUAUGACAUGAUACUCGGAUAGAUUCUGGCGAAGGCAGCAGAAUAGAGGAAAGAAUGAAGGGAGGAAAAGAGAGAAAAGAGGGAAGGAGGAAAAGAGAGAAAAGAGGGAAGGAGGAAAAGAGAGAAAAGAGGGAGGGAGGAAAAGAAAGAAAAGAAGGGAGGUAACGAUACAGAUGAGCGGCAUGCACAGAAUAAAAGUUCGAAGUUAUCUUGCGACAAAUGCAAGGAAUCAUGACAAAACAAACAGGUUCAUGACUAUAAACAAGAAAUUGCAAGAUCGCUAAAAUUAGUCGAGUAAAACGUAAUUCGAUAUUUGAAGAUAAAGCAGAUACUUUGCCAGACCACAUAUACAAUUCCUAUGUAUUUGCUUAAACUUGGUUAUUUACUAAAAUAAAUAAUCUUAAUUAUUUAUAAU